GGGCCGGCACCUCCAGCUUGUGUUUUGCUGCUUGGAUUUGUCUGAAAUAAAAGCUAAACCUUUCCCUGGGAUGGCCAAAGGGACCUGGGAGAGCCAGUUCUCAGCACAGAGCGCUCCUGGAAGCAGCUGAUUCUCCUGGGCAGGAUGGAUUGUUGGCCAGGGGAGCAGCAUUUUGCAGAAAGCUGCUCCAGACCCUCAUUCCCAAGUCUUGUCCUCACAAUCUGGCAGGGGAGGAGGUCACUCUCUCCCGGGAGUUUACAAUCAUCACGUUGUCUGUGUG